rnacentral:rRNA from 1 species
AAAGUUCGAUUAAGAGUUUGACUCCGUGGAUCUAAAACUUGACAACGUGUGCGCGCGCAGUGCUUUACACACUGCGCAAUCUCAGAGGGGAAGCAGAUUGCUGGUGAUGCAUACCGGGUGAAGUUGAAGUUAACCAUGGGAAUUUACCCCGGGGAGGGGAACAACUCUGGGAAACAGCGGCUAAUACCGCGUACACCUUUCGAGGGAUAGCUUUGACGCCCUGGGAUGAACCCGCGUUAGAUUAUGCAGUUGGCGGGUUAUAGGCCUACCCAGCCAUCAUUCUCUAGCGUGGUCUGUAUAGUGAUCGAUACACACCAGAGCAUGGAGACUGUAGACUGCGUGCCGAAGUACAUCACGUACUGUGAGCACGCACCUCUGAGUGGGUGAAAAUCAUUGUGAUGCAUUGAGGGAGUUACACCCGUGUAUCUCGAGACCAUCGCUCAAUGUUGCGUUACAAGUAAGUGCCCUAUAGCGGUUAAGUAACCGUCGCUUUUCCACAUGGUCGAAGCAUAGACGCGCGGUAAGGCCUGUAUAAUGAAACCUUUAGCUUAUGUCCUAUGUGCUUUCAUACGAGUGAUUAAAUAGCACGAACAACGUAACGUCUUAUGCUCUGGAAAUCAAUUGUUGCUAUAUAUAGCACGCUGUACAGCUUGAUAUACCUAUAAUACUAUAUGGUGAAGAUAAAUGCAGUGGCG